CCGCCCGUCACACCAUGGGAGUUGGUUCGGCCUUAAGACGGUGCGCUAACUCAGCAAUGAGAGGCAGCCGGCCACGGCCGGGUCAGCGACUGGGGUG
rnacentral:rRNA from 1 species